rnacentral:rRNA from 1 species
GACGAACGCUGGCGGCGUGCUUAACACAUGCAAGUCGAACGGAAAGGCCCUGCUUUUGUGGGGUGCUCGAGUGGCGAACGGGUGAGUAACACGUGAGUAACCUGCCCUUGACUUUGGGAUAACUUCAGGAAACUGGGGCUAAUACCGGAUAGGAGCUCCUGCUGCAUGGUGGGGGUUGGAAAGUUUCGGCGGUUGGGGAUGGACUCGCGGCUUAUCAGCUUGUUGGGGGAGUAGUGGCUUACCAAGGCUUUGACGGGUAGCCGGCCUGAGAGGGUGACCGGCGACAUUGGGACUGAGGUGAGGCCCAGACUCGUACGGGAGGCAGAAGGGGGGAAUAUUGCACAAUGGGCGGAAGCCUGAUGCAGCAACGCCGCGUGCGGGAUGACGGCCUUCGGGUGGUAAACCGCUUUCGCAUGUGACGAAGCGUGAGUGACGGUAAUGGGUAAAGAAGCACCGGCUAACUACGUG